GGGGGCGUAGCUCAGCUGGGAGAGCACCUGCCUUGCAAGCAGGGGGUCAGGAGUUCGAUUCUCCUCGUCUCCA
rfam:Thermosinus carboxydivorans Nor1 ctg11, whole genome shotgun sequence.